UCCCGAAUCCUAGGCAGAAACCCUAGGGUACUCUUAGAAAAAUCCUGUGCCCUUUCUAUUUCUUUUCUUUUCUCUUCUUUUCUUUUCUUUUCUCAUGCACAGAGCCUUUCUCAUGCCACCCUUUCUCUCUUAGAUCUGAUCACGCAUGCCCCACCUUCUCUCUCAUUUUAAAAUGGUGCAAGACCGCAUCUUUUCAGUAUUUUCAUCGCGUG
rnacentral:lncRNA from 1 species